GCCCCCCUACCCAAGCGCCUGCCCCCCCUACCCAAGCGCCUGCCCCCCCUACCCAAGCGUACUUCACAUUUCCACCCGACACUUUUCGGGUUGAGCUCUUAGCGCCACCAUGCCAGCACCCCCGCAGGGCCGGCCCGUGGCAUAAACGGUCUGUGCAGUUGCUUAGGGCCACAACCGCUAGGGGGGGGGGCACAUGACCACGAGGCGGGGGGCACACGAUCCAAUGUUUAUCUAAAGUAAAUAACGUUAUUUUCGCAAUUUCGUUAUUCAUCCCCUAUCGCGGAACUAGCGGUAUGAAUUUGAAACGGAAUGGCAACCGAACAUUUCAUAGCAAUGUAAUGUAAGGAGGAUUUUACCAAGUGAACCUCCCCACCCCCACCUCCCCACCAAAAUCCUAGGGCCGGCCCCGCACACCCGUCUCAGUGCCAGUGUGUACCACCGCCUGCUUCCUCAGAAAUGACAUGUAACCCACUAUAUUUGGACUUUUUCAGGAAAUACAUUCAUCACCAUUCCAGUGUACAGCAGUGUAUUUUUAAAUUGACAUUGACUGCUAAAUCUGAAAGUGGAACCAGUUUGUGUGUGUGUGUGUGCGUGUGUGUUCGCCCAUGUGCUCUGUGGAAUUGGCCUACGCUUGGAAGUGGAAGUGUUUUGCAGUGUUUUUCAUUUCAGUUUCUGUUAUUAUUGCAACGUAAAGAACCUUAUAUUUCUUAAAGCCUGCAGGUGAUAUCGAACUUGUGCGACCUUGGGGCCAGAGGGACAGGUGUUCAGUGAUUCUGAAUAAGAGGCCUGUGUUUGCAGUUUGAUCCCUGACAAUGUGUCACGAGCACUCUUCCCUUUUGGGAAUGGAACAUGUUGACUUGUUUAAAUGUACAAUACAUUAUCAGGACAUUGCAGCGCUGCAGCGUAUGGACAAAUAUGCAGUCAUGACACAUUGUAAUAUAUUACACUUCUGUGCAAUAUAUAUAUAUAUAUAUAUAUAUAUAUACAUAUAUGGUAAGAAUGUGUUUUGGUAAGAGUAUAUUUCAGGGUUGUGCCUGCUUGUUUGUCCUCCUCUGUCCCCUGUGGUUCCCUGGUUAUUGCCCUGUUAGUGUUGCUGUUGCACUGUUGGCCCAGUGAGUUUUUAAUGUGGUGCAUUUUAAGGUGAUGUAAUAAGGUCCUGGAGACAAGUACCUGCGCGUAUCUGCAACGCUGUGACCAAAACGUGUGAUCAGAGCAUUCCUGGAUUUUCUGCUGCUUUUUUUUUUAUUAUUUUUUUUUUUUUAUUAAGCUUUUUAUUUAUUUGCAUGUUUCCCGUUAGCAUGCGCGCUAAGAACAAAAUGGCGGAAAACCUUGACCCUCUUUUAGAGAGUCAGAGCGUAGCCCCUACCAACGUCCCUGCUGCUGCAAGAAUACUCCAUUCUGACUUCAGCUUUUGGUUCUUUUUUGGGGGCAUUUUGACUUACAUAAUAAUAAACGCCUCUUAAAAUACUUUAGGGGGAGAGUUGGGCUGCCACGAACCACAAAAUGUGUGGACUUAGCCUCUAUAUGGAGGAUACUGUCCAAGAGCCACUCCUAUUGUGGCAUCACAAUCCAGAGUUCUACAGUGAUUCUAGGAUUAGGGCAAGGGUGUUAUUCCCAUGGCAACGAAAGCAGACGCUUCAGUUAAGAUUUUGUCGUUUGUAGAAGUUUUUUUAUAACUUCAAUCAAGGGGUUUCAAUUCUAUUUAAAUAUAUUUGUGAGGUUUUUUUU